GGGUAACCUGCCCAAGAGAUCGGGAUAACACCUGGAAACAGAUGCUAAUACCGGAUAACAACAGAUGAUGCCUAUCAACUGUUUAAAAGAAUGGUUCUGCUAUCACUCUUGGAUGGACCUGCGGUGCAUUAGCUAGUUGGUAGGGUAACGGCCUACCAAGGCGAUGAUGCAUAGCCGAGUUGAGAGACUGAUCGGCCACAUUGGGACUGAGACACGGCCCAAACUCCUACGGGAGGCAGCAGUG
rnacentral:rRNA from 1 species